GUGCUCACUUCAGCAGCACAUAUACUUUAAUUGUAAUGAUUCAGAGAAGAUUUACGUGGUCUCUGCACGUGGAUGACAUGCCAAUUCAUAAAGUAUUUCAUAGUUUU